AUGAACGCUGGCGGCGUGCCUAAUACAUGCAAGUCGAGCGAACGGACGAGAAGCUUGCUUCUCUGAUGUUAGCGGCGGACGGGUGAGUAACACGUGGAUAACCUACCUAUAAGACUGGGAUAACUUCGGGAAACCGUAGCUAAUACCGGAUAAUAUUUUGAACCGCAUGGUUCAAAAGUGAAAGACGGUCUUGCUGUCACUUAUAGAUGGAUCCGCGCUGCAUUAGCUAGUUGGUAAGGUAACGGCUUACCAAGGCAACGAUGCAUAGCCGACCUGAGAGGGUGAUCGGCCACACUGGAACUGAGACACGGUCCAGACUCCUACGGGAGGCAGCAGUAGGGAAUCUUCCGCAAUGGGCGAAAGCCUGACGGAGCAACGCCGCGUGAGUGAUGAAGGUCUUCGGAUCGUAAAACUCUGUUAUUAGGGAAGAACAUAUGUGUAAGUAACUGUGCACAUCUUGACGGUACCUAAUCAGAAAGCCACGGCUAACUAUGUG
rnacentral:rRNA from 1 species